GCGGAGGUACCAAAGUGGCUAUGGAGCGGCCUGCAAAGCCGUCUUACGUGUGUUCAAAUCACACCCUCCGCU
rnacentral:tRNA from 1 species